GACGAACGCUGGCGGCGUGCUUAACACAUGCAAGUCGAACGGAAAGGCCCUGCUUUUGUGGGGUGCUCGAGUGGCGAACGGGUGAGUAACACGUGAGUAACCUGCCCUUGACUUUGGGAUAACUUCAGGAAACUGGGGCUAAUACCGGAUAGGAGCUCCUGCUGCAUGGUGGGGGUUGGAAAGUUUCGGCGGUUGGGGAUGGACUCGCGGCUUAUCAGCUUGUUGGUGGGGUAGUGGCUUACCAAGGCUUUGACGGGUAGCCGGCCUGAGAGGGUGACCGGCCACAUUGGGACUGAGAUACGGCCCAGACUCCUACGGGAGGCAGCAGUGGGGAAUAUUGCACAAUGGGCGGAAGCCUGAUGCAGCAACGCCGCGUGCGGGAUGACGGCCUUCGGGUUGUAAACCGCUUUCGCCUGUGACGAAGCGUGAGUGACGGUAGUGGGUAAAGAAGCACCGGCUAACUACGUG
rnacentral:rRNA from 1 species